UACAGAGGUCUCAAGCGUUGUUCGGAAUCACUGGGCGUAAAGGGCGCGUAGGUGGCGUGGAAAGUCAGAUGUGAAAUCCGGAGGCUCAACCUCCGAAUUGCAUCCGAUACUCCCAUGCUAGAGAACUGGAGGGGAGUCUGGAAUUCUCGGUGUAGCAGUGAAAUGCGUAGAUAUCGAGAGGAACACUAGUGGCGAAGGCGAGACUCUGGACAGUUUCUGACACUGAUGCACGAAGGUCAGGGGAGCAAACGGG
rnacentral:rRNA from 1 species